rnacentral:rRNA from 1 species
UGAUCCUGCCGGAGGCUACCGCUAUUGGAGUCGAUUAAGCCAUGCGAGUAGAAAGAAAUUAGAUUCUUUGCAUACUGCUCAGUAACACGUGGAUAACCUGCCCUACACUGGGGGAUAAUCUUGGGAAACUGAGGAUAAUACCCCAUAGACCACUACGCCUGGAACGGUGAGUGGUUGAAAGCUCCGGCGGUGUAGGAUGGGUCUGCGGCGUAUCAGGUCGUAGGGGGUGUAAUGGACCUCCUAGCCAUCGACGCGUACGGGUUGUGGGAGCAAUAGCCCGGAGACGGAUUCUGAGACACGAAUCCGGACCCUACGGGGUGCAGCAGGCGCGAAAACUUCACACUGCAGGAAACUGUGAUGAGGGAACUCCAAGUGACUGCACAAUGUGUAGCCUUUUCUUGAAUCUUAAUAGUUCUUGGAAUAAGGGCUGGGAAGGACCGGUGCCAGCCGCCGCGGUAAUACCGGCAGCUCAAGUGGUCGUCGCUUUUAUUGGGCCUAAAACGUCCGUAGCCUGUAUGGUAAAUCUGUGGGUAAAUCAACGAGCUUAACUCGUUGAAUUCUGCAGAGACUGACAGACUAGGGACCGCGAGAGGUAUGAGGUCUCUGGGGGUAGGGGUAAAAUCCUGUCAUCCUCAGAAG